AUGUUUGUUUGGCUUGCACAUAAGGAUCGCGUUUUCACCAAUGAGAGACGUUUCAAACAUUCUAUGGCAACCUCCGAUUGGUGCCCUCUCUGCGAUGGUGGAGAGAGCAUUGACCACCUGCUGUUCCAGUGCCAUUUGCUUCGUCCACUAUGGAAUGAACUGCAUAGUAUACACUUAGGGAGACACCACUCUUUGCUGGAUAUUUGGCAUGAAGAUCGGGCUAAUAAAGUACGGUCCACCGUCAUUAUAGCUCUUCUUUGGAAUAUAUGGAAACGGCGCAACACCAAAGUUUUCCGCAACGAAGCUUUGGGUGUACAUCACAUUGCUCGAUCGGCUGCGGAUGAUUUAAUGCUAUGGGCUCACUGAUGUAAAAAUGUUCAGAAGCAGAACCUGCUUAGAGAUUGGGGCUCUAUGUUGUUAAAUUUAGCUGGGAGAAUUUACCCUCUACCCACCUUUUUUGUUUCUCCUCUUUUGCUCCUACAUCUACUCCCUCCAUGUACCUCUAAUCCCUCUGUAAUUGGUUACUUUUGGUAA
rnacentral:rRNA from 1 species